GAAAUAAAAGAAGUUCAAACUAAACUAAAGUGCUGUCAAUUCACAGGCCUUUGCUCCUUGUACCGUGUGACUGUUGAGAUACCACGUGGUAGUAGAUUCCCCAUUCAGGCUCUUUGAUUUUACUUCUGAGUUGCUAGCUGUUUGAUAUGUACAUUUGAGAUACCAAACAAAUAACCCUGGUGCUGGUAGGUGAUUUUUAAUGGCUUUGUUUUUGUUUAAACUGACUAGCCCUUUGAGUGCAAAUAGCUUGUUCUUGCAAGUCUGUCAUUGUGCUUGUUAUCUGUUAUUGUGCACAGUGACAAUGGAUCUACCAUAGUGGGAAACACCAAUUUAAAACCUUAGGAGAAUGUAUCCUUUCAGAUUUACAGAAUAACAGGAUGGUUUGGAUUGGAAGGGAUCUUAAAGAUAAUCUAGUCUCCAUUUCUGGUCUGUAACCUCAGCCCAUUUGUGGGAUGGUCCGGAUUUUGUUUCAAAAGUUGUUGAUACUGUACAAAGGUCAGAUGCUGGAUCCAGAUUCUUCCAACCAUGGAUUUAUUUCCUUGGCUUACUACAGCAAUGACAGUAGAACAUUUUAACUGAACCACUCCAUCAGAAUGAACGACUGAUUGACGUGGGUGACCUCAGCAAUUAACUGAAAUGCCUCCUCUUGCUGCUUUGAAUGAAGAAAGCUGUACUGCAUUCCGUUCCCAAGAGAGAACUGAACCUCUGGAUGUUCACCCUUGGUGACACCAGUGAUGCUAAAGGCUUACCACUGACUUGCUUCACAUCCAGGACACUACAGGAAGUCAUGAUGGUCUUUCAACUUUCCUGGACACACAGUAAAACAAAAGUGAAUAUAAUCCCAUCUAAAUUAAAUAAGAAAUCACUGCA